GGCUGGUCCGAGUACAAUGGUGUUUACAACUAAUUGAUCGCAACCAGUUACAGAUUUCUUUGUUCCUUCUUCACUUGGCUAGCCUUAA
ensembl:misc_RNA Y_RNA Y RNA